CAGUCGCCGCGGUAACACGAAGGGGGCUAGCGUUGCUCGGAAUGACUGGGCGUAAAGGGCGCGUAGGCGGCGAUCAAAGUCAGGCGUGAAAUUCCUGGGCUCAACCUGGGGGCUGCGCUUGAUACUUGGUUGCUUGAGUGGGGAAGAGGGUCGUGGAAUUCCCAGUGUAGAGGUGAAAUUCGUAGAUAUUGGGAAGAACACCGGUGGCGAAGGCGGCGACCUGGUCCUUGACUGACGCUGAGGCGCGAAAGCGUGGGGAGCAAACAGGAUUAGAUACCCCUGUAGUCCCUGUCUCUUAUAC
rnacentral:rRNA from 1 species